GCCAAGGUUUUGUGGGAAUCGUGGGCGGGUUGUUAGCUGUGCAAUUGCCCAUGACCUUGGCUGCAGCCCUGAGCAAGGAGAGCCCAGCUGCUUUUCCAGCUGGAUUCAGCACUGCGUUCUGGGACUGAGAGUGAGAAGCCCUUUUCCUUGGUUUCCUACUUGAAGCAGUGUUUGUUUUCCUCCUCAGCUGAUUUUGGCCUCUGUGCUGUGCUCAGCCCUGAGCACAGGAAACGGAGGUCGAUGGUCGGGACUACUUACUGGAUGGCACCCGAGGUGGUGAGAAGAGAGCCUUACGGCCCCAAAGUGGACACCUGGUCCCUUGGCAUUGUGGGGAUAGAAAUGGCCACAGGAGAGGCUCCUUAUAUGCAGGAGACCAGUGACAAGGCCAGCUACCUGAUAGGCAAGCAAGGGGUUCCAAAUCUGCACCAGCUCAGGCUACCCCCUGGCUUGUGUGAAUUUCUGGGCUGCUGCCUGCAGAUGGAUGUGGACAGGCGAGGCUCUGCCAAGGAACUUCUGCAGCAUCCAUUUCUGCAAUCAGCGGAGCCUCUCUUAAGCCUCUUCUGACAGCCUGAUUGCUGCCAUCCCUGCAGCAAGGGAAUGCAAGAAGCAAAGGAGAUGACAAGGUGUGAGAGUCUGUCCGAAACUUCCCUCAUUUUUUGCCUCUCAAUCGUCAUGAAAGCCAAGA